AGAGUUUGAUCAUGGCUCAGGACGAACGCUGGCGGCGUGCCUAAUACAUGCAAGUCGAGCGGACCGACGGGAGCUUGCUCCCUUAGGUCAGCGGCGGACGGGUGAGUAACACGUGGGUAACCUGCCUGUAAGACUGGGAUAACUCCGGGAAACCGGGGCUAAUACCGGAUGCUUGAUUGAACCGCAUGGUUCAAUCAUAAAAGGUGGCUUUUAGCUACCACUUGCAGAUGGACCCGCGGCGCAUUAGCUAGUUGGUGAGGUAACGGCUCACCAAGGCGACGAUGCGUAGCCGACCUGAGAGGGUGAUCGGCCACACUGGGACUGAGACACGGCCCAGACUCCUACGGGAGGCAGCAGUAGGGAAUCUUCCGCAAUGGACGAAAGUCUGACGGAGCAACGCCGCGUGAGUGAUGAAGGUUUUCGGAUCGUAAAACUCUGUUGUUAGGGAAGAACAAGUACCGUUCGAAUAGGGCGGCACCUUGACGGUACCUAACCAGAAAGCCACGGCUAACUACGUGCCAGCAGCCGCGGUAAUACGUAGGUGGCAAGCGUUGUCCGGAAUUAUUGGGCGUAAAGCGCGCGCAGGCGGUUUCUUAAGUCUGAUGUGAAAGCCCCCGGCUCAACCGGGGAGGGUCAUUGGAAACUGGGGAACUUGAGUGCAGAAGAGGAGAGUGGAAUUCCACGUGUAGCGGUGAAAUGCGUAGAGAUGUGGAGGAACACCAGUGGCGAAGGCGACUCUCUGGUCUGUAACUGACGCUGAGGCGCGAAAGCGUGGGGAGCGAACAGGAUUAGAUACCCUGGUAGUCCACGCCGUAAACGAUGAGUGCUAAGUGUUAGAGGGUUUCCGCCCUUUAGUGCUGCAGCAAACGCAUUAAGCACUCCGCCUGGGGAGUACGGUCGCAAGACUGAAACUCAAAGGAAUUGACGGGGGCCCGCACAAGCGGUGGAGCAUGUGGUUUAAUUCGAAGCAACGCGAAGAACCUUACCAGGUCUUGACAUCCUCUGACAACCCUAGAGAUAGGGCUUCCCCUUCGGGGGCAGA
rnacentral:rRNA from 1 species